rnacentral:rRNA from 1 species
AGUGAACGCUGGCGGUAGGCCUAACACAUGCAAGUCGAACGGCAGCACAGUAAGAGCUUGCUCUUACGGGUGGCGAGUGGCGGACGGGUGAGGAAUACAUCGGAAUCUACUUUUUCGUGGGGGAUAACGUAGGGAAACUUACGCUAAUACCGCAUACGACCUACGGGUGAAAGCAGGGGAUCUUCGGACCUUGCGCGAUUGAAUGAGCCGAUGUCGGAUUAGCUAGUUGGCGGGGUAAAGGCCCACCAAGGCGACGAUCCAUAGCUGGUCUGAGAGGAUGAUCAGCCACACUGGAACUGACACACGGUCCAGACUCCUACGGGAGGCAGCAGUGGGGAAUAUUGGACAAUGGGCGCAAGCCUGAUCCAGCCAUACCGCGUGGGUGAAGAAGGCCUUCGGGUUGUAAAGCCCUUUUGUUGGGAAAGAAAAGCAGCAGGUUAAUACCCCGCUGUUCUGACGGUACCCAAAGAACAAGCACCGGCUAACUUCGUG